rnacentral:lncRNA from 1 species
ACCUCCUUAAUGCCUUGCCAGCUGGAAGGAAAAGAGCCUCUUGCAUUGCCCACAAAGGAAGCAGAGAUUGAGGGGAGAAGAACUGGAGAAAUUAAAAAAGUGGAAAGAGACAGCAACACAAAUAAAGAGGUUGAGUACCAGUAGAAACCUCAUAUUUACCUGGAAGAUUACUUUUAGGAAGCUUGAAGAAUUCUCUCUUCCAACUUGGUUAAUCUGAGUUCUGUGGCACCUACAAGAGAAAUGGCUGCUUAUAUGUGACAACCUGCAGAUCUGAGCAGCAGGGGAACAAAGGCAGGGCCAACACAAUGGCACUGGUCCCGUUGA